rnacentral:snRNA from 1 species
AAAUAACAAAAAAGAACCACAU